rnacentral:rRNA from 1 species
UGCGGAGGGAUCAUUACACAACAAAAAUAUGAGGGUGUGGUUUGCUGGCAACAGCGUCCGCCCCAAGUAUUUUUCACCCAUGUCUUUUGCGCACUUUUUGUUUCCUGGGCGAGUUCGCUCGCCACCAGGACCCAACCAUAAACCUUUUUUUAUGCAGUUGCAAUCAGCGUCAGUAUAAUAAUUCAAUUUAUUAAAACUUUCAACAACGGAUCUCUUGGUUCUGGCAUCGAUGAAGAACGCAGCGAAAUGCGAUACGUAGUGUGAAUUGCAGAAUUCAGUGAAUCAUCGAAUCUUUGAACGCACAUUGCGCCCUUUGGUAUUCCAAAGGGCAUGCCUGUUCGAGCGUCAUUUGUACCCUCAAGCUUUGCUUGGUGUUGGGCGUCUUUUUGUCUCUCCCCUUGUUGGGGGAGACUCGCCUUAAAACGAUUGGCAGCCGACCUACUGGUUUUCGGAGCGCAGCACAAAUUUGCGCCUUCCAAUCCACGGGGCGGCAUCCAGCAAGCCUUUGUUUUCUAUAACAAAUCCACAUUUUGACCUCGGAUCAGGUAGGGAUACCCGCUGAACUUAAGCAUAUCAAUAAGCCGGAGGAA